CUGUAAUUGUGAUUCAUAUGAAAUUUCUCCAUUUAGAGGAAGAUGUGCCAUUACGCAGCAAGUUACUCUGUCUAGCGAAUUAGGGCUCUCCUUCAUCACUGCGGAUCCUCAAGAGGGGAGAGAAUAAGACGGAGCAAGAUUCACUAGGCUGACCUUAGGUGGCAUGCUGAAAUUUGGGAGGCAGAAAACUGCACAGUUUGGAAGGAUUUCUGCUUGAGAAAAAGACUCAGGACAAAGCCUGCCUGUCUGCGAUCACCCGGCGGCGUGCGUGCGAGCUCCCGGCCUGCGCGGGAGCUCCCGACCUGCGCGACAACAGACCCAGGAAGGACCCAAGGACCCCAGAGGGGGUUUUUUUCAGCUGCCUGCCUGCCUGCCUGUCUGCGAUCACCCGGUGGCGUGCGCACGAGCUCCCGGCCUGCGCGACAACAGACCCAGGAAGGACCCAAGGACCCCAGAGGGGGUUUUUUUCAGCUGCCUGCCU
rnacentral:lncRNA from 1 species